GUGAACUGGGGUCAGCCAAUGGAGUCACAUCUGCAUUUUCUGUUGACUGUAAAGGUGCUGGUAAGAUUUCUUCUGAAAGCUCAAUGAACUCCAUAUAGGAUACACACAAGAGAUCCACAAAUAGAUGAAUCAUAGUAAAAAUGCUGAAAGCCAAAGACAAGGAGAAGAUCUUGAAAGUAGCAACAGAAAAAUAACUGAUUACUUAAAGGGAACUCAAUAAGAUUAACAGCUGAUUUCUCAGCGGAAACAGUAGCCACUAGACGGUAGUGGCAUAACAUGUACAAAGUGCACAAAGAAAGAACUGUCAACCAAGAAUUUAUAGCCAUCUAAGCUAUCUUUCAAAAAAAUGAAGGCAGGGAACCGAUAUGGCGACCGAAGGGGAUGUGGAGCUGGAGUUGGAGACUGAGACCAGCGGCCCAGAGCGGCCUCCCGAGAAGCCAUGGAAACAUGACAGUGGUGCGGCGGACCUCGAGCGGGUCACCGACUAUGCGGAGAAGGAGAUCCAGAGUUCCAAUCUGGAAACGGCCAUGUCUGUUAUUGGAGACAGACGGUCCCGUGAGCAGAAAGCCAAACAGGAGCGGGAGAAGGAACUGGCAAAAGUCACUAUCAAAAAGGAAGAUCUGGAGCUGAUAAUGACAGAGAUGGAGAUCUCUCGAGCAGCAGCAGAACAGAGCUUGCGGGAACACAUGGGCAAUGUGGUAGAGGCUCUUAUUGCCCUAACCAACUGAUAUAUGCUUUCUCAGCUAUACCUUCUGUAUUAACUUAUAGCAAUAAAGAUAUUUUUUGUCUUUUGCAGUUUAAAAAAAAAAAAUGAA